UACGUAGGGUGCAAGCGUUAAUCGGAAUUAUUGGGCGUAAAGAGCUCGUAGGCGGUUUGUCGCGUCUGCUGUGAAAUCUGGGGGCUCAACCCCCAGCCUGCAGUGGGUACGGGCAGACUAGAGUGCGGUAGGGGAGAUUGGAAUUCCCGGUGUAGUGGUGAAAUGCGUAGAUAUCGGGAGGAACACCAGUGGCGAAGGCGACUACCUGGCCUGUUUCUUGACGCUGAGGCGCGAAAGCUAGGGGAGCAAACGGG
rnacentral:rRNA from 1 species